GCACUAAUAGCUCAGUACAGAGCACCGGUCU
rnacentral:tRNA from 1 species